UUUUCCUACGGGGGGCAGCAGUGGGGAAUAUUGCACAAUGGGGGAAACCCUGAUGCAGCGACGCCGCGUGAGUGAAGAAGUAUUUCGGUAUGUAAAGCUCUAUCAGCAGGGAAGAGAAUGACGGUACCUGAGUAAGAAGCCCCGGCUAACUACGUGCCAGCAGCCGCGGUAAUACGUAGGGGGCAAGCGUUAUCCGGAUUUACUGGGUGUAAAGGGAGCGUAGACGGCGAAGAAAGUCUGAAGUGAAAGCCCGCGGCUCAACCGCGUAACUGCUUUGUAAACUUUUUUGCUGGAGUACCGGCGAG
rnacentral:rRNA from 1 species